UACGUAGGGUGCAAGCGUUUGUCCGGAAUUAUUGGGCGUAAAGAGCUCGUAGGCGGUCUGUCGCGUCGGAUGUGAAAACCCAGGGCUCAACCCUGGGCCUGCAUUCGAUACGGGCAGACUAGAGUUCGGUAGGGGAGACUGGAAUUCCUGGUGUAGCGGUGAAAAUGCGCAGAUAUCAGGAGGAACACCGGUGGCGAAGGCGGGUCUCUGGGCCGAAACUGACGCUGAGGAGCGAAAGCGUGGGGAGCAAACAGG
rnacentral:rRNA from 1 species